CCCCAACAUCAGGCAGUGGGUGAAGAAAGAGCUCCCCAGAUUAGCAGGGCUUACCUUCCAUCUACCACAAAGCAGGAUGUGGGGCCAGGAGCCAGGGAGCUCAGAGAGUAGCCCAGGUGCCCGACCCCAUUCACAGCGCCCUUUGGGAGAGCGAUGGAGAACACGGCUCCUGGAUCAGAGGGCCAUUCGCAGUGACAGGACUCUUCUCUGAAAAUGAAGGUGGAAAAGAAACUGCAAUUCACGUUCCUAUUUCUCCUAGCAAUUCCCACCUAGAGGAAAUAUGGAUACGUACAUGUACUCAGUCAAAGCACAAAGCUCAUCAUUGCAAUGGUCCCAUGUGACCACUGGGGACUUAGCAAGGACGCCAUGUUCCCUUGUUGUUUCUGGAUGCAUUUCACCUUUCCCCUGUCCUUAUGAAACCACCACCACACAGGUAAGAAUUAUCACUCUGACGGAGGGGAUGAGAAGGGCCUCCAGGGUUGAGUUUAAUGUAGGACAAUGCAGCUGGUCCUCUCCAUGGACAUACUCUCUGUGGAGGGAACCGUUCAUGCCCUCAGAUGGCAAAGUG
rnacentral:lncRNA from 1 species